rnacentral:rRNA from 1 species
AGAGUGAACGCUGGCGGUAGGCCUAACACAUGCAAGUCGAACGGCAGCACAGGAGAGCUUGCUCUCUGGGUGGCGAGUGGCGGACGGGUGAGGAAUACAUCGGAAUCUACCUUUUCGUGGGGGGAUAACGUAGGGAAACUUACGCUAAUACCGCAUAAGACCUUCGGGUGAAAGCCGGGGACCUUCGGGCCUGGCGCGGAUAGAUGAGCCGAUGUCGGAUUAGCUUGUUGGCGGGAUAAAAGCCCACCAAGGCGACGAUCCGUAGCUGGUCUGAGAGGAUGAUCAGCCACACUGGAACUGAGACACGGUCCAGACUCCGUACGGAGGCAGCAGUGGGGAAUAUUGGACAAGUGGGCGCAAGCCUGAUCCAGCCAUACCGCGUGGGUAGAAGAAGGCCUUCGGGUUGUAAAGUCCCUUUUGGUAGGAAAGAAUCCUAGACCGUUAAUAACCUAGUAGGAUGACCGGUAACCAAAGAAGUAA